AACGAACGCUGGCGGCAUGCCUAACACAUGCAAGUCGAACGAAACCUUCGGGUCUAGUGGCGCACGGGCGCGUAACGCGUGGGAAUCUACCCUUGGGUUCGGAAUAACAGUUAGAAAUGACUGCUAAUACCGGAUGAUGACGUAAGUCCAAAGAUUUAUCGCCCAAGGAUGAGCCCGCGUAAGAUUAGCUUGUUGGUAGGGUAAUGGCCUACCAAGGCGACGAUCUUUAGCUGGUCUGAGAGGAUGAUCAGCCACACUGGGACUGAGACACGGCCCAGACUCCCACGGGAGGCAGCAGUGGGGAAUAUUGGACAAUGGGCGAAAGCCUGAUCCAGCAAUGCCGCGUGAGUGAUGAAGGCCUUAGGGUUGUAAAGCUCUUUUACCAGGGAUGAUAAUGACAGUACCUGGAGAAUAAGCUCCGGCUAACUCCGUGCCAGCCGCCGCAGUAA
rnacentral:rRNA from 1 species